UACGUAGGGGGGCAAGCGUUGUCCGGAAUUAUUGGGCGUAAAGCGCGUGUAGGCGGUCCGGUAAGUCCGCUGUGAAAGUCGGGGGGCUCAACCCUCGGAUGCCGGUGGAUACUGUCGGGCUUGAAUCCGGGGAGAGGGAUGCGGAAUUCCAGGUGUAGCGGUGAAAUGCGUAGAUAUCUGGAGGAACACCGGUGGCGAAGGCGGCAUCCUGGACCGGUAUUGACGCUGAGGCGCGAAAGCCAGGGGAGCAAAGCGGG
rnacentral:rRNA from 1 species